rnacentral:rRNA from 1 species
ACUGAUGAGUUGCGAACGGGUGAGUAACGCGUAGGUAACCUGCCUCAUAGCGGGGGAUAACUAUUGGAAACGAUAGCUAAUACCGCAUAAGAGUGAUUAACACAUGUUAGUUAUUUAAAAGGAGCAAUUGCUUCACUGUGAGAUGGACCUGCGUUGUAUUAGCUAGUUGGUGAGGUAAAGGCUCACCAAGGCGACGAUACAUAGCCGACCUGAGAGGGUGAUCGGCCACACUGGGACUGAGACACGGCCCAGACUCCUACGGGAGGCAGCAGUAGGGAAUCUUCGGCAAUGGACGGAAGUCUGACCGAGCAACGCCGCGUGAGUGAAGAAGGUUUUCGGAUCGUAAAGCUCUGUUGUUAGAGAAGAACGUUGGUAGGAGUGGAAAAUCUACCAAGUGACGGUAACUAACCAGAAAGGGACGGCUAACUACGUGCCAGCAGCCGCGGUAAUACGUAGGUCCCGAGCGUUGUCCGGAUUUAUUGGGCGUAAAGCGAGCGCAGGCGGUUCUUUAAGUCUGAAGUUAAAGGCAGUGGCUUAACCAUUGUACGCUUUGGAAACUGGAGGACUUGAGUGCAGAAGGGGAGAGUGGAAUUCCAUGUGUAGCGGUGAAAUGCGUAGAUAUAUGGAGGAACACCGGUGGCGAAAGCGGCUCUCUGGUCUGUAACUGACGCUGAGGCUCGAAAGCGUGGGGAGCAAACAGGAUUAGAUACCCUGGUAGUCCACGCCGUAAACGAUGAGUGCUAGGUGUUAGGCCCUUUCCGGGGCUUAGUGCCGCAGCUAACGCAUUAAGCACUCCGCCUG